rnacentral:rRNA from 1 species
UACGUAGGCAGCAAGCGUUGUUCGGAAUUACUGGGCGUAAAGAGUGCGUAGGCGGUGCUCUAAGUCUGUUGUGAAAUCUCCCGGCUUAACUGGGAGGGUGCGGCGGAAACUGGAGUGCUUGAGGGUGGGAGAGGUAAGCGGAAUUCCUGGUGUAGCGGUGAAAUGCGUAGAUAUCAGGAGGAACACCUGUGGUGUAGACAGCUUACUGGACCACUUCUGACGCUGAGGCACGAAAGCGUGGGUAGCGAACAGG